CGGUGAAUACGUUCCCGGGCCUUGUACACACCGCCCGUCACACCACGAAAGUUGGCCGGACCAGAAGUCGCUGUAAGCGCCUAAGGUAAUGCCGAUGAUUGGGGUG
rnacentral:rRNA from 1 species